rnacentral:lncRNA from 1 species
CUUGGCUAGAACUAUGCUUAAAUAAGGAGACGGGUAGGUAGGGGUGUGUGUGUGUGCGUGUGUGUGUUUAGUGGUAUGUUAACCUACAAAAAUAUGGAGAGAGGUUAAGGGAGAAGGCUGUCAUUCUGACAGGUGGUUCUUGUAAAAAGGUGAUCUCUCGAAGUUCAAGAAGUUUCUAAAUAUCUACACCCACUCCCAGGUGGUGAGCCGCGAAGCAGGUGAUUUGUGGAGACUUCUUCGUGUUCUUCCUUCAACCAGUACUGAUGCCAGGCACAAGGUAACAAAAACAAGCAGGACUCAAUCCACGCCUUCAAGGGAUCUCCCUUGGUUCCCAUUGAGAAGUUUGGUUUUUUAUUUUUUUCUUUUGCUAAACAAGAAGCGUCGACCCACUGGGAAGUUUGAAUGUUGAGUUUAAGACAGGGCAGCUGGUGACAGGCAGCAAGGAAAAACCAGGGAGACUGGACUCUGACAUCGCUUGCUGUUCAGUUUCACCUUUCACUUGUCAGCGGACAAAACCAAGCCCUUCAGCAGUGACAGAACGGAACCAGUGUUUCUUAGUGAGUAGACGUGGGGCCAAAAAAGACCGGAUCUCUUCAAGCUCACCUGGCCACAUUCUCUUCCUGCUGCUCCCAGAUGUCCCACCAGACUGUCGCUCUGCGGGACUCAAACAUUUCUUGAAGGUGGGAACUGCGUUUUAACCAUCUUUUUAUCCUUCCACAGUACCCUCCC